rnacentral:rRNA from 1 species
UACGAAGGGUGCAAGCGUUACUCGGAAUUACUGGGCGUAAAGCGUGCGUAGGUGGUUUGUUAAGUCUGUUGUGAAAGCCCCGGGCUCAACCUGGGAAUGGCAAUGGAUACUGGCAAGCUAGAGUGCGGUAGAGGGUAGUGGAAUUCCCGGUGUAGCGGUGAAAUGCGCAGAUAUCGGGAAGAACACCCGUGGCGAAGGCGGCUCUCUGGGACGGUACUGACGCUGAGACGCGAAAGCGUGGGGAGCGAACAGG